AAGCCGUAAAACAACCCUGUGAACCUUCAGCGUGUUCUUGCAGGACAUCAAAACAGCAAUCCCGAGUAAAUCAGGCGCUAAAGAAUUACAGAUUUUGAUUUUGGGAAUUCUGUGUGUACGUGGACGCUGCAAUUGAGCGCUAGAUAAAGCACCCUGGUACCCUCGAGCACUACCUUGUCUGAAAGCGGCAGGGAUCAAUAGUCAACGAUCGCCGUAGGUCCACACGACCGGCGACCGGAGUGGAGGCGAAAGCCCCGGGACUUGGCGAAAGCUGACUCCGUCAUAAAUCGAACAACUGUUAACAAUGGAUAUCUUGGUUCUC
rnacentral:misc_RNA from 1 species